CCUUAUUAUCCAACUCCUAAAUUGAGGAUUUCACUUUAUGAAAAUUUCUGAAAAUUUUCUCGAGCAUCUUGACAUUUAUCGAGAUCGUAAAUAAAUAACUUGUUGAACGAUCUCAAUUUAAGCUCGAUAAAUUUUCCGGGGCCCACAACACUGCUCUUGCAUCUCGCUGACUGCCUCCUCUCAUUCGUGUUCGAAGCCUCAAUCCAAUCCCCAGAUCUUCGUACCAGGCUAUGAAAAUCGAAAGCUCUGCAGGGAGGAAAAUAUAAUCGAGCCAAUGCUUGUUGGGUCAUAUAUAGAAGAACUAGAUUGGAUAUAUUUGAUUGGCUUUGUCGAGUGCGUCAGGAAUGCACGGUUCUGCUACCAUGGUAUAGACUCUUUCUAACACUGAUAUGAACAAAAGCAUUUAACACAAGCCCAUUUCCUAGUUUUAUCAAUUCUGCCAUCAUUGGAGAACUCAGUUCUUUUUUAUUGUUUUUGUUUUGAACAAUUGAGUAGUGUAUGUUUGGCAGAUAACUAGAAGGUACAGGCACUAGAAGAAGGAGAAUUGAACAUGGGGAGGUAGGAAAAGAGGAUUGAUCUGGUAGGAGUUGGGUUGGAAGUACAGAGUUCCGAGGGGAGAAAGACAGGAAAAUAUGGUUAUAUGUCAGAUUAGUUAUUGGCAAGGUCUAAACUCGACCUAUGCAGAUUUUUUCAUCUACUUGUCUCCAGAUGUAUAUUAUUCACAAAUAGAGAAUAAUCGAUGCUGAGAUGAAAGAGGAUUCAGAGUGUUCAAAUGAUUGUGGAAGCUAGUGGUGUUAGCACUGCACUCUACCUUUUUAUUUGCAGUUCAGAGG